rnacentral:tRNA from 1 species
GGGAGUGGAACGGGGCUGGGCCCCGCGCGGCCUUCAAAGCCGUUGGGGACCGUUUCGGACGGGCCCGGUGGGUUCGAUUCCCAUGCACUCCCGCCA